rnacentral:lncRNA from 1 species
AGAGCGUUCAGACUGGUCCAAUUUCCAAGCGUGACUUUGGCCCCCUGAGCGCCCUUUAAUUUCAGCACCGCCUACAGGCCACAACCCCAGAAACGUAGGUAACAAAGAGGGCCCUAAGAGAGACUUACAUGGAUCCGCCUAGCAAGGGGAAAAAGACAAGAAAGACCUCCUGCGUAAAUUUCAAGGUCUCACUCUGUAAUUCAAGCUGACCUUGGACUCACAGCAAUCCUCUUACCUCAGCAAGGAUUGAUGGCUAGUACCUAAAAUUCAAGCGCUUGGCAGGUAGAGGCAGAAGGAUCUGGAGUCCAAGGACAUUUUCAGCUAUAUGAAAGAAAAACUGAAAACCCAACAUCACUUUUUGGAAUCUGAGAAUGCUACUAGUAAACCACACUUAAUAUUUGCCGUUUAGAGCCUGCUAAUCUCAGAAUUACCCUACAAUACACAGAGGC